GCAGCAGGGGCCAGGGCCCAGGGGAGACACACCGGAAACUCGGAGGUGCGCCUGCGCACUGGGCGACCUUCCUUUCCCAGAGCAGCAGGGGCCAGGGCCCAGGGGAGACACACCGGAAACUCGGAGGUGCGCGUGCGCACUCGGGGUGGUGAAGGCCCGCCAUUGUUCCUUCUCAGCUCCCCGAAGACUUAUUUCGGGUCAAGGGCUGCUCUGCAUUUAACUCCCCGCUCAAAUCGCUGCUCCUGAAACUUCUCAUUUCCCCAAAAGCUUGUAGCUAGAAAACAGAGGGUACCUAAGGUAAAAUGGUCUGCCUUCCAAGGUCACAGCAAAUUAGUGACGGGACAGCGUCUUUCCGUUACAGCACUGGUGCUAACAGCCAAGGAACUGGACCCCUGUCAGUUUGCCUGCUCCAUCUGACUGUUCCAGUACUGCAGGGCGAGGGCCACUGCGGUUAAUCUCUGCUGUCCUCAUCAACCACCCCAGGCGAACACCUGAGGGCUCCUUACUAAGCAGAGGUCAAGGCUACAUCCGGCACUGGAGAAAGGGGGUGGGGGAGGGGAGGGGCACAAGGCUGGUCUGCCCCCUUAAAUAGAAACAAGUAAAUAUGUAAAUGCACAAAUGCAGGGAACUGUCCAAGAUAGGAUGUUAAGUGAAAAAAAAAAAGUUGCAAAAUAAUAUAUACAAGCUUGCUUCAAAAAGUUUGUGAGAUAAUGGGAUUAAAAGAUGUUUAUUUUGAUACAAAACAUUUUUGAAAUACAUACAUAUUAAGGAGCCUUCAAAAAGUUCAU